rnacentral:rRNA from 1 species
CCUACGGGAGGCAGCAGUGGGGAAUAUUGCACAAUGGAGGAAACCCUGAUGCAGCGACGCCGCGUGAGCGAUGAAGGAUUUCGGUGUGUAAAGCUCUAUCAGCAGGGAAGUAAAUGACGGUACCUGACUAAGAAGCCCCGGCUAACUACGUGCCAGCAGCCGCGGUAAUACGUAGGGGGCAAGCGUUAUCCGGAUUUACUGGGUGUAAAGGGAGCGUAGACGGCGAUGCAAGCCAGAUGUGAAAGCCCGGGGCUCAACCCCCGGACUGCAUUUGGAACUGUAUGGCUGGAGUGUAGGAGAGGCAGGCGGAAUUCCUAGUGUAGCGGUGAAAUGCGUAGAUAUUAGGAGGAACACCAGUGGCGAAGGCGGCUUGCUGGACGAUGACUGACGUUGAGGCUCGAAAGCGUGGGGAGCAAACAGGAUUAGAUACCCGGGUAGUC